UGAGUAACCUGCCCUAGGCUUUGGGAUAACCCUCGGAAACGGGGGCUAAUACUGGAUAUUCCCGCGGGAUCGCAUGGUUUGUGGGAAGGUUUUCCGGCUUGGGAUGGGCUCGCGGCCUAUCAGCUUGUUGGUGGGGUGAUGGCCUACCAAGGCGACGACGGGUAGCCGGCCUGAGAGGGCGACCGGCCACACUGGGACUGAGACACCGGCCCAGACUCCGUACGGGAGGCAG
rnacentral:rRNA from 1 species